rnacentral:rRNA from 1 species
UUGGAGGGCAAGUCUGGUGCCAGCAGCCGCGGUAAUUCCAGCUCCAAUAGCGUAUAUUAAAGUUGUUGCGGUUAAAAAGCUCGUAGUCUGAGGUCUGUUCCGGACUGGCUGGGGAGGUCACCGCCCGGUGCUUCCCCGUCAGGUUCCGAACAGCUUCUGCCGCGAGCGGAAGCCAUGCCGGUUCUCUCGGGGUGCUCUUGACCGAGUGUCCCGUGUGGCCGGCAGGUUCACCUUGAACAAAUGAGAGUGCUCAAAGCAGGCUACUCUAAAGCACUAAAGCCCGAAUGUUAACUGCAUGGAAUGAUGAAAGAUGAUCUCGGUUCUAUCUUACUGGCUUGUAAAAAACGAGAUAAUGAUAAACAGGGACUGUCGGGGGCAUCCGUACUACGACGCGAGAGGUGAAAUUCAGUGACCGUCGUAGGACGAACAACAGCGAAAGCAUUUGCCAAGAAUGUCUUCGUUGAUCAAGAACGAAAGUUAGAGGAUCGAAGGCGAUCAGAUACCGCCCUAGUUCUAACCCUAAACGAUGCUAACUAGCUAUUCGCCGGCGUUAUUCCCAUGACGUGGCGAGACGCCCCCGGGAAACCUCAAGUCUUUGAGUUCCGGGGGUAGUAUGGUUGCAAAACUGAAACUUAAAGGAAUUGACGGAAGGGCACCACCAGGAGUGGAGCCUGCGGCUUAAUUUGACUCAACACGGGAAACCUCACCAGGCCCGGACACCUGAAGGAUUGACAGAUUAAGAGCUCUUUCUCGAUUUGGUGGGUGGUGGUGCAUGGCCGUUCUUAGUUGGUGGAGUGAUUUGUCUGGUUAAUUCCGGUAACGAACGAGACUCUGGCCUACUAACUAGUGGAUGGGUGUUCUGACAGUGGGGCCCCAUCCGAUAAUGUCUUCUUAGAGGGAUGAGCAGCGAGUAUAGCUGCAGGAGAUUGAGCAAUAACAGGUCU